rnacentral:rRNA from 1 species
CGGAAAUCGUACGUAGAGUGUAAAGGCAAAAGAGAGCUUGAUUGCAAGACAUACAGGUCGAGCAAGGAUGAAAAUCGGACUUAGUGAUCCGGUGGUUCUGCGUGGAAAGGCCAUCGCUCAACGGAUAAAAGCUACCCUGGGGAUAACAGGCUUAUCUCCCCCAAGAGUCCACAUCGACGGGGAGGUUUGGCACCUCGAUGUCGGCUCAUCACAUCCUGGGGCUGUAGUAGGUCCCAAGGGUUGGGCUGUUCGCCCAUUAAAGUGGUACGCGAGCUGGGUUCAGAACGUCGUGAGACAGUUCGGU